AGUGGAAUUCUUGGAGUAGCGGUAAAAUGCGUAGAUCUCAAGAGGAACACCGAUGGCGAAGGCAGCUUCUUGGCCUACUACUGACGCUGAGGCGCGAAAGCGUGGGGAGCAAACAGGAUUAGAUACCCUGGUAGUCCACGCUGUAAACGAUGAUCACUAGACGUUAGGUUCCCUUGAGGAGCUUAGUGUCGUAGCUAACGCGAUAAGUGAUCCGCCUGGGGAGUACGGUCGCAAGACUAAAACUCAAAGAAAUUGACGGGGGUCCGCACAAGCGGUGGAACAUGUGGUUUAAUUCGAUAUUACGCGAGGAACCUUACCUAGGCUUGACAUGUUUUUGACAGCUGUGGAAACACAGUCUUCCGAGCUUGCUCGGACAAUUGCACAGGUGCUGCAUGGUUGUCGUCAGCUCGUGUCGUGAGAUGUUUGGUUAAGUCCUCUAACGAGCGCAACUCUUGUCGUCAGUUGCUAUCGCUUCGGCGAGCACUCUGGCGAGACUGCCCGGGAAACCGGGAGGAAGGUGGGAAUGACGUCAAAUCAUCAUGGUCCUUAUGCCUAGGGCUACACACGUGUUACAAUGGCCAGUACAGAGGGUUGCUAUCCCGCGAGGGUGUGCUAAUCUCGUAAAGCUGGUCUAAGUUCGGAUUGAGGUCUGCAACUCGACCUCAUGAAGUUGAAAUCGCUAGUAAUCGCGUAUCAGAUAUGACGCGGUGAAUACGUUCUCGGACCUUGUACACACCGCCCGUCAUACCAUGAAAGCUGUUUGUACCCAAAGUUGUCUUAGCUAACCGUUAAGGAGGCGGACACCUAAGGUAUGGGUGGUGAUUGGGGUAAAGUCGUAACAAGGUAGCUGUAGGAGAACCUGCGGCUG
rnacentral:rRNA from 1 species